CUCAAAAAAAAAAAAAAAAGAAAAGCAGCUUUGAGGGGAAGUCCUCCCAGUGGGCAGGAGCAUUGGGUGGUGCUCCUGGCCAUCCACUCUGUGUGGAGAGAGAAGUAGCCUGAGGUUGGAAGAUACUCAUUUUCAUGGACUGUGGUGACUGUUUUGCCCAGUUGAUCAGGGGCCUAAAACAGAAAGAUUGGAAGAUUGGGCACUAAGAAGCUUAGGGUAAAGGCACGUGGCUGGACCAAUGAGAGAAGACAAAGUGUGAAGAUGUACGUAUCAAAUGUGAAUGCCCACCAGAAAACAUCCAUCACAGAAGAGGCACUAAACAACCAGGUGGACAAAAUGACUUGGACAGAUGUCAGAGACGUCAGUCAGCCUCUUUCAUGGGCCACCCUAAAACUAGUACAAUAAGCUUAGGAAGGAGUGGCCACAGUGGCAGUGAUGGAGGCCACACAUGGGCUCCCACCGACCAAGACUGAUCCAGCUACUGAUGUUGCCAAAUGUCCAGUAUGCUAGCAACAGAGCUCACUGCUGAGCCACUGAUAUGGCACUAUCCCUGAAGGAGACCUUGGUGGCUAGUUGACUACAUAAGGUCCCUUCCAUCCUGGAAGGGCCAGAGAUUUGUUUGAACAGUGAUAGACACGUAUUUCAGUUCAAAACAGAUCUUAAAGCAGCGGAGACCACACGCAAUAUCAACAACAUGUUUGGUGCAGGAACUGCUAACAAACGUGCAGUGCAGCCGUGGUUAAGACGUUUUGCAAAAAGAUGAGAGCCUUGAAGAUAAGGAGCGUAGUGGCCGGCCAUGGGAAUUUGACAAAGAUCAACUGAGAGCAAUCAUUGAAGCUGAUCCUCUUACAACUACACAAGAAGUUGCCAAAGAACUCAACAUUGACCAUUCUACAGGUCAUUCAGCAUUUGAAGCAAAUUGGAAAGGUGAAAAAGCCUGAUAAGUGGGUGCCUCAUGAGCUGAGCGAGAAUAAAAAACAUCGCCGUUUUGAAGUGUCAUCUUCCCUACUCUACACAACAACAAGCAAUUAUUUCUUGAUCUGAUUGUGACGUGCGACAAAAAGUGGAUUUUAUGCGACAACCAGCAAUUACCAACUCAGUGGUUGGACGGAGAAGAAGCUCCAAAUUACUUCCCAAAGCCAAACUUGCACCAAAAAAAGGUCAUGGUCAUUGCUGCCAGUCUGAUCCACUAUAGCUUUCUGAAUCCUGGCGAAACCAUUACAUUGGGGAAGCAUGCUCAGCAAAUCGAUGAGAUGCACCGAAAACUGCAACUCCUGCAGCCAGCAUUGGUCAACAGAAAGGCCAAAUUCUGCUCCAUGAGAAUGCCUGACUGCAGGUUGUAGAACUAAUACUUCAAAAGUUGAAUGAAUUGGACUACGAAGUUUUGCCUCAUUCUCCAUAUUCACCUGACCUCUUGCCAACUGACUACCGCCCCUUCAAGCAUCUCGGCAGCGUUUUGCAGGGAAAACGCUUCCACAACCAGUAGAAUGCAGAAAAUGCUUUCCAAGAGGUCGUCGAAUCCAAAAGCAUGGAUUUUUAUGCUACAGGAAUACAAACUUAUUUCCCAAUGGCAAAAAUGUAUUGAUUGUAAUGGUUCCUAUUUUGAUUAA